rnacentral:lncRNA from 1 species
AAGCUGAAGCUUUGUCAUCCCUCCCCACUAACUCCCACUCCAAUUCUUUACUACCCACAUACUAAUCUCAGUAAUCCCCAAGUCCAACAUUUUACCAUUAAUAACCAAUUAUUUGGAGGAAAAAGACAUUUAAUUUUAUAUUUGCUCUAGCCCUUAAUCAAUGCAUAACAACAAAAACAUUUUUAAGCACAUGGAAAUGAGCCUACUAACCUGAUUUUUGGAGCCCAAAUUCUCCACUCUAUUUUGAUCUAUGUGCAAAAAGUAUUGGUACUUUUCAAUUUAUACAUUUGUUAGUAUCUUGUGGCUGGCUUCGUAGUGUAAGACUCACUCUUAAGCCUACUAUAGAGCCUAUAGCACUAUCAGAAGUUUUCAAUUAAUAGCUAUGGAUCAGAAAAUCCUUCGAUCAGUUUCUUACACCAUAAAAUCCUAGGCUUCUUUACCAUUUAUUUCACCUUUCUAGCACAGUCACUGCAUGGCAAAUGUAUGAAACAGACGUUUACAGCAAAUUGGCACAGCAAAGUACCAGUAUAUACAGGAAGCUGCCAGUUAAGACAGACCCGGAAAACAAACUCACCUAGCUGCUAUAGAAACCUUUGCAUAGUUGUUACUCCGUUUUAAUAGGAGUUAUGUUCUUGUAAAAUGUGCCUCACUUUUACUCCACUUUUUAAAAAGUGUUUUUUAACUGUACUUCAGAAGCACUCUGAAAACUCAGAUCUAGGGGUGGUUAGGUGAAGUAGAGUAGAAUCUGAGUGCCAAAUUGCCCCUGAAUGGGCACAAAUCUGAGUGUUACAAAUGCACCAUAGCACACUGUAACCAAAUUUGUAAACAGCCGUGGAGUUUCUAUGCCCACAUUUAGUGAUGUUACCGUAGAGACUGGGGUGUAUUAACGGCUUCAGGGUAUACAUGAAUCACUUAAAAUAUGAAUGGUUUUUAACUAUACUGAGGUAAAGAGAAGUUGCCACUUAAUUACAUACAGUUACCAAUGAUGAUUUUUAUUCAAGCUUAAAGUAAAAAGUAGUUUUAGUUAAGAAAAAUGAAGUACCAGAUAAACUGUAACAUAUAUUUUAACUUAUAAGUAUCAAAACAGGAAUUUUUUGAUUCUCUAAGUGGUGGUCUCUGCAAAACGGAGCUUGAAGAAAUCUUUUACACACCAAUUUGAUAAGAGUCUGCUGACCACGAUCUGUCAUUUUCUUUACUAUGGGCUUCUGGGAGAAUGCAAGCUAUUUUAAGGCCAAAUGUGUUUUUCUUUCUUCUCCCCUUCCCUGACUUUUCCCUUUCUCCCAUCCCCAACCACCUACCCCACAAUGGAAGAAUUUUUGACAUCCAAGCCCUGUUCUCUUUGUGGAUUCUGGAGGAGUCUAUUCAUGAUCAUAAUUAUAUUAUAGACUUGAGUACGCCUAAAGGGGAACUUAGUACACGACUUUAUCUUCACCAGAAUCUUAUUUUGGGGGUAUCCCCAUUCUCAUUCCAACAGCUGGAGUCACCCUAUUUAUCCUCUACUGAAAAAGGGAGGGAAUUUCAAGGGAGACUAUGUUAUGUUGUAUUCAGCUGUUACGGAGUUUAAAAGCACAAUGUGAACAUCAGGCUUCUGGCUUAUUUUAAAUGUGAAAUUCUCAAAAUUAAAAGUGCUUUUCCAUGAAGGAAACCUUUCCUUAAACUAAAACAGGAGGGGAGAGGGAAAGACUAUCCACAGCACCAGUUUAGAAUGAGGUUCAGUAUGGCAAUAUGUGAAAAAACUGAGAAGAAAUAUUCUUUAAAUUUAAGUAUCCCUAUAUGUCAAAAUAUUAAGGGCAAUUAAGAGAAAUGACUAUGAGGUUUUAAUCCCAGUUUAAGUAUGUCUGUAACCUGCUGAAUUCUUCUAAUAAUUUCAAUUAUACUAUAAACUUCCAAAGUGGUUGUAUCUGCUGAUUUCUACUCUUUUGCUAGAUCACACCAAAAUUACUUCCUAAGUUGAGAACAACUUGGAAAAAGCUUUACUGAAAACCAACUGACUACUGAUCUCUCAUGUUGGUGUAUUUAAAAUUCUUUUUGAAUCUUGAAUUUCUUCAAGAUCGGGUACUGAUGUUCCUUCAGGAAUAAAACAAAAGGGGGAAAUCUUCAAAGCAUUACUCUGAAUUUCCUGU